AAGGAAGACGAGCUGAUGGGAAGCAGGUGUGCCAAUGGGAGCAGGAGCAGGGACACGCCUCCCACAGGUCCUCACAGGAACAGUAACACCUGUCAACAUUGGGAGGAAGAGGGCCAAGGAAAAAGACGGAGGACACGUAUGACAGAAAAUGAAGUCAGUGUCGAGUGAUGAUGAGCUGGUCCUGAUGCUCGUAAACAAGAAAAGGAAGAAAUGAAGAUUCUGGGUUUAUCUGAUCUUCAGGCAGCAGCAGGGAGACUUUCAUUGUUCGAUCCAGGAGCCGGACCCAGAGUAGCAUCUCGCUGUGUGUUGGAGCAGUUGGUGGAGAGCAAGCAGCAGAUGCCUCGCCAUCCGAUGGCGAUUAAUCCUCCCACCGGCCAUCAGCCGCCGGCCCCGAGCCUCUGCCAUCAUCACGCCGGCAACGUAAGGAACACACGGCCGAGGUGAAGGUGGGACGGAGGAGCGAGGAGCGGUCGCUGCACCGGAGGGUGUCUCCCUCUGUUUCCCCCACCGCUCGUCUGUUUUCCACUCGUAGACCUCUCUCUGCAGACGACAGGACGACCAGCUGGGGCCCGCUGUCUCCACGGUGUGUGUGUGUGUGUGUGUGCGUGUCUGGAGCCAUGUUCGAUAUAAUGUUGGGAAUCAUUAUUAAACCUGUGAGCUCAGGGAAACAUUUGCACAGAACUUUUUUCCAGGUUGUUCUGUUGUAGCUCCAAUUGAAAAAUAGCCCCUAAACGCACCACAUCCAGGCACCCAGAUUGCAGAUUUGAACAUAGGACAGCAAAGGCCACACUGACUGCAUGUGUGAGUGGGAUUGUGUUUGUAUAUAAUGUGGCUGUGCACAGUGGCCUGCCUGCAGUUUUCUCAAGAGCCGCUCAUCCCAGAACAACGACUGAGACUCACGUCUCACAGGAAACUAAGACAAAAAAAAGGUAGGAAAAUCUAUUAUUUUAGUCCUUCUUAGUCACAGAAUUUUUUAAAAGCCAAACAUUUGCUUGCAGCCUGUUUUUCAUCUUCCCAACUUCCCUUCAAGUUCCUCUCUGAGUGUUUUAUAACAACAUGGAAGUGCAGUGCCUAUAAUGUCCACUAGAGGCUCCCUCCAGCAGUGAGUCAGUGCCUAUAGACUCC